GAAAUGCGAUAAGUAAUGUGAAUUGCGGAAUUCAGUGAAUCAUCGAAUCUUUGAACGCACCUUGCGCUCCUUGGUAUUCCUUGGAGCAUGCCUGUUUGAGUAUCAUGAAAUCUUCAAAGUAAAUCUUUUGUUAACUCAAUUGGUUUCUACUUUGGUAUUGGAGGUCUUUGCAGCUUCACACCUGCUCCUCUUUGUUCAUUAGCUGGAUCUCAGUGUUAUGCUUGGUUCCACUCGGCGUGAUAAGUUAUCUAUCGCUGAGGACACUGUAAAAGGUGGCCAAGGUAAAUGCAGAUGAACCGCUUCUGAUAGUCCAUUGACUUGGACAAUACUUUUAUGAUCUGAUCUCAAAUCAGGUAGGACUACCCGCUGAACUUAAGC
rnacentral:misc_RNA from 1 species